CGAAAGCCUGAUGCAGCAACGCCGCGUGCACGAUGAAGGCCUUCGGGUCGUGAAGUACUUUCGGGGAGAUGAGGAAGGACAGUAUCCCCGGAAUAAGGAUCGGCUAACUACGUGCCAGCAGCCGCGGUAAAACGUAGGAUCCGAGCGUUAUCCGAAUUUACUGGGCGUAAAGCGCGUGCAGGCGGUUCGAUAAGUUGGAUGUGAAAUCUCCUGGCUCAACUGGGAGAGGUCGUUCAAUACUGUCGGGCUAGAGGAUGGUAGAGGGAGGUGGAAUUCCCGGUGUAGUGGUGAAAUGCGUAGAUAUCGGGAGGAACACCAGUGGCGAAAGCGGCCUCCUGGGCCAUUCCUGACGCUAAGACGCGAAAGCUAGGGUAGCGAACGGGAUUAGAAACCCCGGUAGUCCUAGCAGUAAACGAUGUGGACUUGGCGUUGGUGGGGUAAAAAUCCAUCAGUGCCGUAGCUAACGCGGUAAGUCCACCGCCUGGGGAUUACGACCGCAAGGUUA
rnacentral:rRNA from 1 species